rnacentral:rRNA from 1 species
UCUCAGUUCGGAUUGGAGUCUGCAACCCGACUCCAUGAAGCUGGAUUCGCUAGUAAUCGCGCAUCAGCCACGGCGCGGUGAAUACGUUCCCGGGCCUUGUACACACCGCCCGUCAAGCCAUGGAAGCCGGGAGUGCCUGAAGUGCGCGACCGCAAGGAGCGUCCUAAGGCAAUACCGGUGACUGGGGCUAAGUCGUAACAAGGUAAC